rnacentral:lncRNA from 1 species
GGGGAGGGGGGUGAAUUGGUGAGUUUUCAAAAUAAGAGUCUUUUCGCAAUCAUUUUCACAAAGUAUAAAACUUUACAAAUUUUCUUGAAUCGCAAGUAAUAGAAAUUUAAGUGCAGGGGAAUAUUGCAGUAGACUACGCAAAUAACAAAGUCGAAUGAAUGUAAAAGUGUAGGGAUAGAGAAUUCAAACGUAGGUUUUAAUACUGGUUCGCCCUCAAUGCCUACAUCCAGUGUCCUUGCAAUCCAGGAAGCAAAUGCAUUAUAAUGGUCAAGGUUUUUCCAGCAAGGCUUUUAUAGAGACCUCCACGUCAAAAAUAUAAAACACCUCUCUAACCCUCUAGCCAAAAUAUAGCCAAUACACACAGCAAGACUUGCAGCAAGAUAUUUCCUCUUUUACAAUCUACAACCCACUUUGAACAAUCGUCAAAGUGUACCAGACUCCACGAGUCUAUCCCUUGUAAUCACAACAGGUACAACAACAAUCACCACGGAAUGCAACACGAGCCUUGAUCAACUAAAGAACA